GGGAUUCCAGGGUUCCCAGAAUGGAGCUCUUUAGCAUCCGCUGCUGUCAUCAUGACUCAGCUUGCCAAUCUGGGUACGAAGAAGCCAGAACAAACAGGUCACAACAAGGAGCCAUUGGGAGAAUCAUUAACUAUCAUAUGGAGCAUCUGGCAACAUGCCGGGGACAUAACAGUUGAGAGAUUUGAAACAACACCCUGGAUGAGGGGGAGACACAGUGAAAGCAGGAGAUUCAGCAGCUGAUGGCUGGCAAAGAGGUCG